rnacentral:rRNA from 1 species
AACGAACGCUGGCGGCAGGCCUAACACAUGCAAGUCGAGCGAGGACUUCGGUCCUAGCGGCGGACGGGUGAGUAACGCGUGGGAACGUGCCCUUUGCUUCGGAAUAGCCCUGGGAAACUGGGAGUAAUACCGGAUGAGCCCUUUGGGGGAAAGAUUUAUCGGCGAAGGAUCGGCCCGCGUUGGAUUAGGUAGUUGGUGGGGUAAUGGCCUACCAAGCCGACGAUCCAUAGCUGGUUUGAGAGGAUGAUCAGCCACACUGGGACUGAGACACGGCCCAGACUCCUACGGGAGGCAGCAGUGGUGAAUCUUAGACCAUGCGGGAAGCCCUGAUCUAGCCAUGCCGCGUGAGCGAUGAAGGCCUUAGGGUUGUAAAGCUCUUUCAGCUGGGAAGAUAAUGACGGUACCAGCAGAAGAAGCCCCGGCUAACUCCGUG